GGAGGGGUGGCCGAGUGGUUUAAGGCGGCGGUCUUGAAAACCGCUUUCCGCGUUUGCGGAACGUGGGUUCGAAUCCCACCCCCUCCG
rnacentral:tRNA from 1 species